rnacentral:misc_RNA from 1 species
GUUGAAGAACGCAGCGAAAUGCGAUACGUAAUGUGAAUUGCAGAAUUCAGUGAAUCAUCGAAUCUUUGAACGCAUAUUGCGCUCUCUGGUAUUCCGGAGAGCAUGCUUGUUUGAGUAUCAGUAAACACCUCAACUCCCCUUUCUUUUUUUGAAAUGGGAGCUGGACUUGAGUGAUCCCAACGCUUUUCUCACCGAAAAGUGGCGGGUUACUUGAAAUGCAGGUGCAGCUGGACUUUUCUCUGAGCUAAAAGCAUAUCUAUUUAGUCUGCCUAAAAAACAGAUUAUUACCUUUGCUGCAGCUAACAUAAAGGAGAUUAGUUCUUGUGCUGACUGAUGCAGGAUUCACAGAGACAGCUUCGGCUGGCCUUUGUAAACUCGAUCUCAAAUCAAGUAAGACUACCCGCUGAACUUAAGCAUAUCAAUAAGCGGAGGA